rnacentral:rRNA from 1 species
AUUCUGCCUAAUACAUGCAAGUCGAACGAACUCUGGUAUUGAUUGGUGCUUGCAUCAUGAUUUACAUUUGAGUGAGUGGCGAACUGGUGAGUAACACGUGGGAAACCUGCCCAGAAGCGGGGGAUAACACCUGGAAACAGAUGCUAAUACCGCAUAACAACUUGGACCGCAUGGUCCGAGUUUGAAAGAUGGCUUCGGCUAUCACUUUUGGAUGGUCCCGCGGCGUAUUAGCUAGAUGGUGGGGUAACGGCUCACCAUGGCAAUGAUACGUAGCCGACCUGAGAGGGUAAUCGGCCACAUUGGGACUGAGACACGGCCCAAACUCCUACGGGAGGCAGCAGUAGGGAAUCUUCCACAAUGGACGAAAGUCUGAUGGAGCAACGCCGCGUGAGUGAAGAAGGGUUUCGGCUCGUAAAACUCUGUUGUUAAAGAAGAACAUAUCUGAGAGUAACUGUUCAGGUAUUGACGGUAUUUAACCAGAAAGCCACGGCUAACUACGUGCCAGCAGCCGCGGUAAUACGUAGGUGGCAAGCGUUGUCCGGAUUUAUUGGGCGUAAAGCGAGCGCAGGCGGUUUUUUAAGUCUGAUGUGAAAGCCUUCGGCUCAACCGAAGAAGUGCAUCGGAAACUGGGAAACUUGAGUGCAGAAGAGGACAGUGGAACUCCAUGUGUAGCGGUGAAAUGCGUAGAUAUAUGGAAGAACACCAGUGGCGAAGGCGGCUGUCUGGUCUGUAACUGACGCUGAGGCUCGAAAGUAUGGGUAGCAAACAGGAUUAGAUACCCUGGUAGUCCAUACCGUAAACGAUGAAUGCUAAGUGUUGGAGGGUUUCCGCCCUUCAGUGCUGCAGCUAACGCAUUAAGCAUUCCGCCUGGGGAGUACGGCCGCAAGGCUGAAACUCAAAGGAAUUGACGGGGGCCCGCACAAGCGGUGGAGCAUGUGGUUUAAUUCGAAGCUACGCGAAGAACCUUACCAGGUCUUGACAUACUAUGCAAAUCUAAGAGAUUAGACGUUCCCUUCGGGGACAUGGAUACAGGUGGUGCAUGGUUGUCGUCAGCUCGUGUCGUGAGAUGUUGGGUUAAGUCCCGCAACGAGCGCAACCCUUAUUAUCAGUUGCCAGCAUUAAGUUGGGCACUCUGGUGAGACUGCCGGUGACAAACCGGAGGAAGGUGGGGAUGACGUCAAAUCAUCAUGCCCCUUAUGACCUGGGCUACACACGUGCUACAAUGGAUGGUACAACGAGUUGCGAACUCGCGAGAGUAAGCUAAUCUCUUAAAGCCAUUCUCAGUUCGGAUUGUAGGCUGCAACUCGCCUACAUGAAGUCGGAAUCGCUAGUAAUCGCGGAUCAGCAUGCCGCGGUGAAUACGUUCCCGGGCCUUGUACACACCGCCCGUCACACCAUGAGAGUUUGUAACACCCAAAGUCGGUGGGGUAACCUUUUAGGAACCAGCCGCCUAAGGUGGGACAGAUGAUUAGGGUGAAGUCGUAACAAGAGGCGGCC